GCCGAUGUUGCCGGGAAGAUGACCAAACUUGAUCAUUUAGAGGAAGUAAAAGUCGUAACAAGGUUUCUGUAGGUGAACCUGCGGAAAGAUCAUUA
rnacentral:ncRNA from 1 species